AUUGAACGCUGGCGGCAUGCUUUACACAUGCAAGUCGAACGGUAACGGGCCGCAAGGUGCUGACGAGUGGCGAACGGGUGAGUAAUGCAUCGGAACGUGCCCAGUCGUGGGGGAUAACUACUCGAAAGAGUAGCUAAUACCGCAUACGAUCUAUGGAUGAAAGCGGGGGACCGUAAGGCCUCGCGCGAUUGGAGCGGCCGAUGUCAGAUUAGGUAGUUGGUGGGGUAAAGGCUCACCAAGCCAACGAUCUGUAGCUGGUCUGAGAGGACGACCAGCCACACUGGGACUGAGACACGGCCCAGACUCCUACGGGAGGCAGCAGUGGGGAAUUUUGGACAAUGGGCGCAAGCCUGAUCCAGCAAUGCCGCGUGCAGGAAGAAGGCCUUCGGGUUGUAAAUUGCUUUUGUACGGAACGAAACGGCUCUGGUUAAUACCCGGGGCUAAUGACGGUACCGUAAGAAUAAGCACCGGCUAACUACGUG
rnacentral:rRNA from 1 species